rnacentral:rRNA from 1 species
CCCUUAGAUGUUCUGGGCAGCACGCGCGCUACAAUGGUCUUCGCAAACGGAUGCAUUCUCGAAGGAGAAUGCCAAUCUUGGAAUCUAUGCCUUGGUCGGGACAGUUGCUUGCAAUUUUUCGACUCGAACCAGGAAUUCCUUGUAAUCGUGAUUCAUCACAUCACGAUGAAUACGUCCCCGCCCUUUAUACACACCGCCCGUCGCUCCUACCGAUCGAAGAGUUAGGUGAAUUGUUUUGAUCGAUAAGAUUUGACUAUGGUCAACUCUCGUUGUGAAAUUCUGUGAAUCUGACUGUUUAGAGGAAGGAAAAGUCGUAACA